UGAACUCUCAUGUGACCCUUAAGGUCUCCUUUUCGUGAGAAGCUCUUUCCACACUGUUGACAUGUGAAAGGUUUCUCUCCAGUGUGAAU